GACUAAAUACUUUUUUGACCCACUGUAUAUUACAUAGCUAGAUAUCACAAGAUAAUUUGUUUUUUCCUGUCAUCACACUAUACCCAUUUAGAAACAGAGACAAUGAAUUGAUAAACGCGUUAUUGACAGCAAUAUAUUGGAUGAUCGUUAUUUUAAAACCUUCAAAAAGAAAAAUCACUCAUUUCCGUGAUGGCAGCAUUUCCCUCCGGUCCUGGGAAACACAAGUGGUUUCGUUGUUUUUUCCGUGAUGGCAGCAUUUCCCUCCGGUCCUGGGAAACACAAGUGGUUUCGUUGUUUUCCUUAGUACUACACAGCUGUUUCAAAUAAUCAACGCUUGAUGAUGAGUUCGACGUGCAUUUCUGUGCACACGACAUCAAAUUCGUUCUGAUGGAUGCUGCAUGUUCCUUGAAUAGCGCAAAAGAUUUUUGGGGUACACUGCUUUUUGACUUCUAGCCUCCCAAGGAUUAAAAUAUUUGAGGAGGAACAGGAAAACAUGCAGCUGGACCGUUCUCAGGCUGAAAAGCCUAUCAGCCACAAGGUGGUCCUCCAGGAAACAGGCCACAGAAGCGGUAAUACAGAGCCUGUCUGCGAUCCUUGGAAGCCCUGCACGGAAUAAAGCACCAUCCCCAUACAACACCAAAAGCCAAUGGCCUGCUCUGAAAAAUUAGCACAUUUGAGUUUUAAAUGAUUUCAAGAAAUUUAUAGAAGACGAACAUCCUUUCUAACUACCUUCAAAAAUAAUUUGAGAGAUGCCGUGGAUCUAACUGAUUUAAUUGACAUCUGGCUGAGAUCUGAUGGAUGCCCCUAUGACAGGAUGGAGAACAGUGCAAAAUCGAUGGCCCAACAAAACAAUGCAACAACUGAGUUUGCAGAGGAGAGGGCGCGCAAGAGGGAAAGGUUUCAUGAUGAGGGAGGACGAGCCAAUUCAGGAAAGCAGAAGGCACUUAACCCGGAGGCCAGCCGCUGCAGUUACCUGGCCAGCCACUAGAGCACGAUAAGCCAAGUGAAGCCCCCUGGCCAAGCCCUCCACAAACUAGGACGACGCUGGGCCUAUUGUGCACCGGCCUAUGAGACUCCUGGUCACGGCUGGUUGUGACACAGCCUGGGAUCGAACCCGGCUUCUUCCCAAUUUCUCCCCUCUCCCUCCCUUUCCUCCUCCCUCUCCUCUCUAGGUUUGCCAGUGAUGGGGCAGUCAUUUGCUUUGGGGUGUUCAUGCGGACACAGGAGGGGGGCGGGCAUCAGAAGGUGGGGGAUAUGCUGCAGGUGUUGCCUAGUGAACGCUACAACGCACACAUGGUCCCAGAAGACCGCUCCCUCACCUGCCCCGAGCCUGGAACCUACGUGCUGCAUUUUGACAACACCUACAGCUUACUGCAGUUGAAAAACAUCAGCUAUACUGUGGAUGUUCUACUGCCAGACGGACAUGUCAAGAGUCCUAGGAGUAACAGAGCGGAUGGAUGGCUGGAGUAACACACACACACACACACACACAAAUAUGAGAUCUGGAUAGUGAAGAUGGCAAUGUACAGUAUACAGUGCUGUUUAAACACCAGUGUUCUCAGUUAUGGGCAUUGAUAUGACUAGUAACCCACAGUUAUAACUUUUCCUAUUUUCUGUUGACACAAAUAAUAAUUUGUAUAAGCAUUUCAUACAAGAGUCAGAAUUAAUUUGAGUUAGGACUAUAUGGCUUUGUCUUAUUGGAGCCUAUAUUGUGUGAAUGUAAUAUAAUGUAUUUUCACAGAAAAGUACUUUCCCGUGUCUGUAGUGACUUCUGUGUAUUUUAGGCUUCAUUGGACCAAUGUAAAUAUACAAAUUGUGCAAAUAGGGAUAUAAUAAAGGAAUGAUUAUAAAGUGGGAGAUAAAUAUCCUUGCUAUCGUUUUGUGUUUUCACUGAUGAUAUCUCUCAUUAACUGUUUGACAUUUUAAUUAAUGGCAGCUGAUGGACCGGCUAGAUAUCUUUAUAGGUUGUUUAAGCAUAAAUAAAGAUUAUUCUUAUCCAAUGUUAAGAUGCACUUAUUGUCAAUGGAUAAAAACAAAUUGAAGAGUUUUAACAUAGCUACAUGUCAUAAUAGUCAAGUAUUUAUUCUCAAAAUGCGAGUUGAGUCCUGAAAAUCAGAAAUGUCAGAUGGUCCGACAUCUGAAUUUUGUACAUAUACUAAAUUUGUAUUAUCUCGACUUUUAAAUGUUCUUGUAUCAUGUUAUUUUUUUAAAGAAUAAAUCAUA